UGUUCCUGUUGCAUAGAUCCAGUUUCCUACCUAGCCAUUAGUCCCUUGAGUCCAAGAGAUAUUUCUUCUUAUUCUUUGUACCUUCCCAUAGCGAUUAGAAAAGCAUGUCAGUCAAUAGUAGGUGUAGAGGAAGUUUGUUUAACUUGACUGGUUGAUUAGUGGGUUGAUUUACUGCCAGCUCAGUGGCUGUUUCUCUCCCAUUACUUCCACCUCCCAUGAGGACUGCACCUGCGGCAGCGAUUUUAUGUGAACUUGGAUUACUGUAUGGAAACGGAGGAGUGAGAAAGUGUGGGAAUCGUAAAGGAAGGCAGAACCAAAAGACAGAGGGAUCUUGGGCCAUGAGUCACAGCAAGGAAAGCCUCCCACCAAACAUCUGCACUGGACUCCUACAGGAACAAGAAAUGAACUAUCGUGUUCAGCCCCUGAGACUUGGGCUUAACAUGAUUUUCACAUUGUCUACCCUACCCAAUAGAGCAGAGAUGUAAAUAUUAUUCUUAUUUUAGAGGUAAGUACUAACUCUAUUCUUAUUUUGGGGUGUGGAUAUAAGACUCAGAGGAUCCCAGACAUUUUUUACUCCAAUUCCAUUCUCUUGCUGCAACGGGUGUUUUGAAAAGCUGCAACCAAAUAGUAAUAGCAGAUAAUAACUUAGAGCUACAAAAUACAAAGCACUGUUCUUAGUGCCAUAUAUUUCACACAUUGUUUAUAUCCUUAGAUACAUGCAGAAAGUAAGCACUGCGAUUAUUCCCAUUUAACAGGUGAGAAAGUUAAUACAUGGAAAUAUAAAAUAAUUUACCCAAAACCACCAUUUAUGUAGGUGCUGGAGCCAAGAUUAUAACCCAUGAACCCGAUUCUGACUAAAUGUAUAACCAACAUGCACUCCAAAUUCCAGAAAAUAGGGAAUUUCACUUCAAUAAUGGACUUAUGCUUUAUGGGGAGCUAAUCAGCAUGGAGAAAGGGCAGUGGUGAAAAUUAUAACAGCCUGUGCUAUGUGUCUCCUGAUUUUGAUUUUGUUCGAUGUUUAGUGUUUCUAUAUAGUAAUUAAGAUUAUGUGAGGACUUUGCAAAAGAUCUGUCCAUUUCCAGUAAGCAAAGGACCAUUGCAGACAUGAAUGCAGGGGUUUGAAUGACAUGCAGCAUCAGUUGACUUACCUGCUAGUAUGUGGUCUCGGCAAAAGAUAUAUUAUCAUCUUGUUAAUCCCAUUACAGGUGUGAUGCCUCAGCUGCAAUGGCUGAGAACUACUCCUCAUUUAUUCUCUUCCAAGGUAAUAAAAGAGAAUGGACCAAAGACAGUCUGUCAUCACAUCUAGUCAAAAGAGCUAAUGUCGCAGUACAACUCUUCAAAAGAAAAAGAAAAAACAAGAAAAAAGUAAUAAACAGAUGUGUUCUGCUUGAUUGUUUGACUCCUUUUUCUUGUGUUUUCCUCUGGAAUUUCUCUGUAGCUAAAGGCCUUUGAUAUUCUAUGUCUACAAGAUGAUGGCAUCGGUGGUAGUGAUGGUUUCUUCUUUUUCUCUUUUUCCUUCUCCUUCUCCUCCUUUUUUUCUUUUCCUCUUCUUUCCUCCUCCCCUCCCUAUUCUCCUUCGUCUUCUUUUCUUUUCUCCGUCUCCCCUUCCUCUUUCAUCUCCUCUUAUUAUUAUUAUACUUUGUUCUUGAUCUAAAACAGCACUGUAUUAGAUGCCAAAUCUUUAGAAAUUAGAAGUUCUGACCAGGCACAGUGGCUCACGCCUGUAAUCCCAACACAUUGGGAGGCCGAGAUGGGCAGAUUACCUGAAGUCAGGAGUUCGAGACCAGACUAACCAACAUGGCAAAACCUCGCCUCUACUAAAAAUACAAAAAUUAGCCAGGCGUGGUGGCAUGCACCUGUAAUUCCAGCUACUGGGGAGGGUGAGACAGGAGAAUUGUU
ensembl:lincRNA